UCUUCACUGAGAUUAGAUAUGAAGUCUGGCCUGCCCACUGAUGAAUAAUUAAAGGGCCGCGGUAUUCUAACCGUGCGAAGGUAGCAUAGUCAAUAGUCUUUUAAUUGGGGGCUUGAAUGAAUGGUCGGACGUGAAGGAGUCUGUCUUAGCCCAGGGUAGUGAAGUUAACUUUUGUGUGAAAAGGCAUGAAUGACUUGGGGGGACGAUAAGACCCUAUAAAACUUGAUGGUUGGGUUGUUAAGUCUUCGAUUUGUUGGUAAAGGGGGCUUGGCGGAGUAUCAUUGUGCUGGGGCGGCAGGAAUAUAGGUGGUAACUGUUCUUAAAAUAAAAUGACUAUAAUCAGACUCUGACCCUGGAUUAGAGGUUAAAAGUGUAAGUUACUUUAGGGAUAACAGCGUUAUUUCUCUUGAGAGUCCAUAUCGACAGAGAUGUUUGCGACCUCGAUGUUGAAUUAAAGCUUCCUUCGGGGGUAGCAGUUCGGGGGGCAGGUCUGUUCGACCUUUAAAGUUUUACA
rnacentral:rRNA from 1 species